AGAACCUUACCUGGUCUUGACAUCCACGGAAGUUUUCAGAGAUGAGAAUGUGCCUUCGGGAACCGUGAGACAGGUGCUGCAUGGCUGUCGUCAGCUCGUGUUGUGAAAUGUUGGGUUAAGUCCCGCAACGAGCGCAACCCUUAUCCUUUGUUGCCAGCGGUCCGGCCGGGAACUCAAAGGAGACUGCCAGUGAUAAACUGGAGGAAGGUGGGGAUGACGUCAAGUCAUCAUGGCCCUUACGACCAGGGCUACACACGUGCUACAAUGGCGCAUACAAAGAGAAGCGACCUCGCGAGAGCAAGCGGACCUCAUAAAGUGCGUCGUAGUCCGGAUUGGAGUCUGCAACUCGACUCCAUGAAGUCGGAAUCGCUAGUAAUCGUGGAUCAGAAUGCCACGGUGAAUACGUUCCCGGGCCUUGUACACACCGCCCGUCACACCAUGGGAGUGGGUUGCAAAAGAAGUAGGUAGCUUAACCUUCGGGAGGGCGCUUACCACUUUGUGAUUCAUGACUGGGGUGAAGUCGUAACAAGGUAACCGUAGGGGAACCUGCGGUUGGAUCACCUCCUUACCUUAAAGAAGC
rnacentral:rRNA from 2 species